CUGGCGUCGAUGUUUCAUGUUUAGUGUUUUAUGAUUACAAAUGCCUCUGAUGAUUCCUUGCCGCAUUUUAAAAUUCCCUUCGAAUACACACGCUUAAUUCGUUAAAAAUUCUGGGCAUAUAAUUGGAGCAAAACAGCACUGUCCUGAUUUUAUUUGUGAAAAACUAAAAAUGAGGUUUGAAAUGCAGUUUUGGGCCUUUAGGC